rnacentral:rRNA from 1 species
UACGAAGGGGCUAGCGUUGUUCGGAAUCACUGGGCGUAAAGCGCACGUAGGCGGAUCUUUAAGUCAGGGGUGAAAUCCCGAGGCUCAACCUCGGAACUGCCUUUGAUACUGGGAUCUCGAGUCCGGGAGAGGUGAGUGGAACUGCGAGUGUAGAGGUGAAAUUCGUAGAUAUUCGCAAGAACACCAGUGGCGAAGGCGGCUCACUGGCCCGGAACUGACGCUGAGACGGCGAAAGCGU